AUCGAAAAAAACCACUGCUUUUGGUGGAUACCUAAGGACUCAAAGAUGAUGAAGGGCGUGUUAACCUGCGAAAAUUUUUGGUUAGUUGGAAAAAAACUUUAAUCCAAAAGUUCCCCAAUGGAGCAAUCCUUAAAACUACUGAAAAAAUUCAUAAAUCGGUAAGAAAAAACUUAGUGAACUGAAACAUCUUAUUAACUAAAGGAAAAGAAAGCAAACGCAAUUUCCGAAGUAGCGGCGAGCGAAAUGGAAAAAGUCUAAACUGAUCAAAUCAGGGUAGUGGGACUUUACUUUUACACCAAAAAAAAAAAAAAAAACAAAAAACAGCUGAAACCUGUACCAAAGAUGGUGAAAGUCCAGUUUUAUUCUUUUUUUUCCUAUGUGAAGUAUCCCAAGUAGCUUGGGGCACGUGGAAUCCCUUGUGAAUCAGCGAGGACCACCUCGUAAGACUAAAUACUCUUGAGUCACUGAUAGUGAAAAGUACCGUGAGGGAAAGGUGAAAGAGACCCCCUGUCGGGGAGUGAAAUAGAUCAUGAAACCUGAAGCAAUCAAUCUGUGGGAGGAUAUAUUAUAUCUGACCACAUGCCUGUUGAAGAAUGAGCCGGCGACUCAUUAUUUUUGGCUUGGUUAAAGAAAAUUUCUGUAGCCUGAGUGAAAACAAGUCUGAAAAAGGCAAAAAAAAAGAGUCAAAAAUUAUGGACCCGAACCCGAGUGAUCUAACCAUGACCAGGAAGAAUCUUGGGUAAAACUAAGUGGAUGUCCGAACCGACCGAUGUUGAAAAAUCGACGGAUGAGUUGUGGUUAGAGGUGAAAUGCUAAUCGAACUCGGAGCUAGCUGGUUCUCCCCGAAAUGCGUUGUGGCGCAGCAUUUAUAGAUGUACCUGAAUAGGUAGAGCACUGUUUCGAUGCGGGCCAGUCAAAAGGUACCAAAUUGUGGCAAACUCCAAAUUAUUCAGAUUUAUACCUAUAAAAAGUGAGACUUUGGGGGAUAAGCUCCAAGGUCAAGAGGGAAACAGCCCAGACCAUCAGUUAAGGCCCCUAAAUAAUAGCUAAGUGUUAAAGGAAGUUUCCAUGCUGAAACAACCAGAAGGUUCGCUUAGAAGCAGCUAUCCUUGAAAGAAUGCGUAAUAGCUCACUGGUUAUUUCUUUUGAAGAAAAAAGCGUGGAUGCGCCGAAAAUGUCCGGGACUAAGUUAUUUGCCGAAACUGUGGCCUUAUUAAAGGGGUAGGGGAGCGUUCUGUUAUGAGGUGAAGGAUUUUUGAAAAAAAAUGAUAGAUCGAACAGAAGUGAGAAUGUCGGCUUGAGUAACGAAAACAUUAGUGAGAAUCUAAUGCCCCGAAAGCCUAAGGUUUCCUCUUCAAGGCUCGUCCAGAGAGGGUUAGUCAGGACCUAAGAUUAGGCUGAAAAGCGUCAUCGAUGGAGAACAGGUCAAUAUUCCUGUACUUAUUUUUAUUUUGAGACAAGGGACGAAGGCAACAAGUUCAAGCUCUUCAAAUGGUUCAGAGUGGAAAUGUUUAACAUAUGGUUCGAAAAAAAAAUCGAACUUGGGCAGAAAAGGUGGAUGAGCCCCCCCCAGGGAGCAAAACCGCCGCCUGGUCAAUAUGAAGACAUGAUACGUUAUUUGAUAAAUUUAUUUAUUAAAUAAUUUGAAUUUUGUUAUACUUCCUAGAAAAGCUUGAGACUCUUAUAAUAAAAAUAACCUGUACCGUAAACCGACACAGGUGGGUAAGUUGAGUAAACUCAGGGGCGCGAGAUAACUCUCUCUAAGGAACUCGGCAAAAUAGCCCCGUAACUUCGGGAGAAGGGGUGUAUUUUUCUUUUCUUGAAAGAAAAAUACCGCAGUGAAUAAAUUCAUUGAACUUUUUAACAAAAAAAUAGGUCUCCGCAAAGUCGUAAGACAAUGUAUGGGGGCUGACGCCUGCCCAGUGCCGGAAGGUUAAAGGAAUUGGUGAAAGCUGAUAACUGAAGCCCCGGUGAACGGCGGCCUUAACUCUGAAGGUCCUAAGGUAGCGAAAUUCCUUGUCAAGUAAGUUUUGACCCGCACGAAAGGCGUAAUCAAAUGAAUACUGUCUCAGAGAGAGACUCGGUGAAAUAGACAUAUCCGUGAAGAUGCGGAUUUCCUUACAUCAGUACAAGAAGACCCCGUGAAGCUUGACUGUAUCUUGAUAUUGGUUUCCAGUUAUUUUUGUGCAGUCUAGGUGGGAGAAUAAAAUUUCAUCAUUGAGAGACCACCCUGAAAUAACUAGAAAUCUUAAAGUGAUUCCUUGAAGCAGGACACUUGACAGUGUCUGGAGGGCAGUUUUUUUGGGGCGAAAACCUCCUAAAAGGUAACGGAGGUUUGCAAAGGUUUCCUCAAACUGGACGGAAAUCAGUUGUUGAGUGUAAAGGCAAAAGGAAGCUUGACUGCAAGACUUAUAAGUCGAGCAGAGGCGAAAGCCGGCCUUAAUGAUCCGACGGUAACCAAGUGGAAGGGCCGUCGCGCAAAAGAUAAAAGUUACUCCGGGGAUAACAGGCUUAUCUUCCCCAAGAGUUCACAUCGACGGGAAGGUUUGGCACCUCGAUGUUGACUUUUCGCAACCUGGGGCGGUAGUAUGUCCCAAGGGUUGGGCUGUUCGCCCAUUAAAGCGGUACAUGAGUUGAGUUCAGAACGUCGUGAGACAGUUUGGUCUAUAUACGAUGUAAGCGUUAGAAUAUUGAGAGGACUUUUCCAUAAUACGAGAGGACUUGGAAGAACGUACCCCUGGUGUACCAGUUCUUAUACCAAUGGGACGCGCUGGGUAGCUAUGUACGGAAAAGAGAACUGCUGAAAGCAUCUAAGUAGGAAACUUACCUCAAGAUAAUUAUUCUCCAUUAGACUCCGGUUAGAUAAACCGGUUGAUAGGUUUUAGGUCGAAGAUUUGUAAGAAUUGGAGCCAAGAAAUACUAAUGAUCGAUUGUUUUUGAU
rnacentral:rRNA from 1 species